CAGGGAUCUUGGGCUAAGUUGAGAUUGCAAAAUAAAAGAAAGAAGCAUUAUUUUGAUUUAGAAAAUAAAUUAUCUUAAAAUUGAUGUAAUUAGAAAAUAAAGAGCUCAGGAGUUUUGAAUUAAUUUUGCACUAGUAGAGUUGUAUCUCUUUUUUUUUAAUUAAAUAGAUGCGAUUAAUCUUAAAAAAAAUAUCUAUCUUUCCUCGACACAUCCCGUACCCAUAGAUCAUGGUGCGUCUUCGAAAAGUACUAGGUAAAUAACUCUUCUUUCCUCAGCACACUCCGUACCAUAGAUCACGUUGCAUCUUCGGAAAGUAAAGGUUGUUCCUAUUAUUAAUCUAACAGGAAAGUAUAAAUAAAAGCAUAUGAAAGAGAGCAAAUAAAAAACUCAUAACGAUUUAAAUAAAAAGCAUAAUCUUUAUUGCAUAUAAAGAAAUACAAGAAAGUUUAGAACAAUAAAUCCACUCAAUGUCGUUACAAAAUUUCUUCUCCACUCCCGAGACUGCUAGCCUAGCUGCUCAUGGAGUAGUCCCUUUCUCUUCCUCUAUGCAAGGCUCUAGAAGAAUUUCUGGGAUGAUCCUCCAAUGGGAGUACAAGAGCCUUUUUAUAGGUGUUAGGAGGGAGGAGUUUUACAUGGUUUUCAGAUGUGGGACUAAAGAAAAUACUAAAGACUAAAAGAUGGAUGGAUGAGAUGGAA
rnacentral:lncRNA from 1 species